rnacentral:rRNA from 1 species
CCUACGGGCGGCUGCAGUGGGGAAUAUUGGACAAUGGGGGGAACCCUGAUCCAGCCAUGCCGCGUGUGUGAAGAAGGCCCUCGGGUUGUAAAGCACUUUCAGUGAGGAAGAACGCCUGGUGGUUAAUACCCAUCAGGAAAGACAUCACUCACAGAAGAAGCACCGGCUAACUCCGUGCCAGCAGCCGCGGUAAUACGGAGGGUGCGAGCGUUAAUCGGAAUUACUGGGCGUAAAGCGUGCGUAGGUGGCUUGAUAAGCCGGUUGUGAAAGCCCCGGGCUCAACCUGGGAACGGCAUCCGGAACUGUCAAGCUAGAGUGCAGGAGAGGAAGGUAGAAUUCCCGGUGUAGCGGUGAAAUGCGUAGAGAUCGGGAGGAAUACCAGUGGCGAAGGCGGCCUUCUGGACUGACACUGACACUGAGGUGCGAAAGCGUGGGUAGCAAACAGGAUUAGAUACCCUAGUAGUC